UCUCUCUCUCUCUCUCUGUCUUUAUUUUUUUUUUUUCUUCAGCUGCUUCCUUUAUCAUGUUAGUGCGUUUGGAUGCAUUUUGAAUUGAAAUCCUUUCUUUGCAUUCUACAUUAUUGCUCUGGGCUCCAAAUUGCAAUGAUGUUACAUUUUAAAAAUUUUAAAUUUUUAUUUAUUUAUUUAUUUUAAUAAUGGGUAUUGAAAGGAGCGUAACAGCUGUAAUGAUGGGGAAACCCCAUCUGUUUUGUCAUUUCUUCUUUGAACUGAAUGCUUCCACAUCAAUUGACUCAGUGCAUUCACACCCAGGAGCACAGUUGUAGUCUCUAUCGUCGAUUAUAGAAUUUUAUAAAUUUACAGUAUACAACAAGUAUGAAAUUGAUCUCCACAUAUGAUUAGGGAGCGGAAAGUUAUGGUUUUUUUUUUUUUUUUAUUUCAUCCACUUGAGCGGUUUCACACUAUCUUUGGUUGAUUUCUUCAUUACCUAAGUUUGAGUCUGAUGCUUAGAAAGCAACUCCUGAUCUUGGGGAUCUUAGGUAAGUCAAGUCUCCACCAACUUACAGUUUUCUGAAGACCAUGAUUCCAUACAUGUGGAUGUGGGGCCCAUGUUUGGUUUCUAGACUGCUUAUCUGGUUCUCCUACAUCCAUGGGGAAUGCACCACAUAUGGCAUAUCAGAAGAUCCUAACCCUUCUAUUGUUGGCCUAUCUUCCAUUGUAUGUGGAUUGUUGUUGUUUUCUUUCUUUCUUCACCUUCUACUCAUAUGCCACUGGUUGAAGGAUUGGGAUCUUCCAGUCGGAGUGAAUUUUGGUGGCAUCAUCCUAUUCAUCCAUGGUGGGGGCCAACUGUAUCAACAACCUAUGGACGCCAAAUGUCUGCAAUCCUGCUCAUCAGCAGACCUUACGGCUAGUGAGGCUCCGGGCCCUAUAAUCCCUCCUACUAAACUUGCUAUUGAAAUGUUUAAUACAGUUUACUACCCCAAGCUUUAUAUGUAAUGGGAAGGGCAGUAGUGAUUUGGAAGAGCAUACUAGUGUAGUUUUGGUAGAGAGAGGAAGUAAUGAGUGAUUUAUCGUUGGUUUUACUCUUUUUUAUUUAUUUAUAUUAUUUAGUGAAUUUCCUUGUAGAAUUUUCUGAUAGCGUCUUUUUUCUUGUGAGUUUCGUGGUUCCACCUUGUAUGAGCUCAACAAAUUCUACCAAAGCUGACAGAUCACAAUGUCAGGAAACUUGAAUCAUGUGUCCAUUAGUAUUUUCGUGGCUCAACCACCCACUCAAUCCGUGUAGAGAGUUGCAUACGCGCAGUUUUACCUUCAAGGGGAUCAAUUGCAUUUGAUUCUUGCGAUGAAGGAACUUAGCAUCAUCAACGACGAUCAUGGAACAGCUGUUGAAACCAUAGAGUUAUGGCAAUUAAUAAACUAAGUAUUUGCACAAAUGCUCCAGAAAGUUUUGUGGAACUCGAUGAAUGGAUUGUGAAAGCUAGAAAGCUAUUUCUCGCUCAAUUGGUGGUGUUUGGGCAUGUUUAAGAGUUGGAGCCUUUAAUAGUGAUGUGAGACUCUUGCAUCCCAGAAUUCCUGGUGUAGGAAUCAGAGUUGCUGCAGCAGGAGCUUAACAACAAGGGGAUUUUGGCACAAACCCCCUUGGCUGUUAAAGUCAGACCAACUUGAUCAACGUACCAGAUUUUAUACAGUUCUGGAAGUUAUUUUCUUGGUGUCAAAAAUGAGAAAUUUUUACAGGUAAAGUUGAUUCAGGAGCUAUAUUGGUGGACAAGUAAGGAGAUUUGGUCUCAUAUGCUUCUUGAACCUCUGAUAGAGUAGCUAAUUAACCACACAAAGUGACACAGACGGAUGAUUAGAAUAGUAGUUCAAAGAACCUCCAUUGUUCAGUCAUCUAUACCAGUGGCAUAGACAUUUGGUUACAUUCAACAUAUCCUCCACAUGAUUCCAUGCCAUAGGCAUGGAGAGAUGUGGAUUAUACAAUCAUUAAUUAUUCUGCAUUUAACUUUUUAACAUUUCUCUAUAAUUGAUUUUCCGAUCAUCUUGAUGGUUGUACUGCAAAUUAUGUAAUUAGUCCAUGGAAAGCUUCAUACUCUGUAUGGGUAUUUAAGGCAUGCAUAGUACUAUGGUGUGUUAUCAAAACAAUAUAUCCAUUAAAUAAUGAGCAGUUAAUCCUAUUAUGUGGCUAAGGAAAAAAAAAACUUUUGGUUGAUUUAUGUAAUAAUUUGGUAAACAUGAACUAUUGAAACAAAGGGAUACGAAGGAACACCCUGAAAGUUGGAUGUGUAUCUUCCGGUUUUCCUCUUUCUGCUGAGUGUGAACUAUAUGAAUCCACCCGUUCUCUACAACAAAUCUUUGAAACUGAACCUGAGCUUCCAAAAAUAUACUGGAAGCAUCAUGUGAAUGAUACAAAUAAAUAAACAUGAAGGCUCUUAUUUGUUUUAUUGAGAUUUGAGUUGACAUGGGUAAACGUCAUCUGGGAUUUUUUAAUGGAAUACUAAAAUUUUAUUAAAAGAAGACAAAGGGAGUCUAGCUAUCCAUUGAGACAAUGGAUAAACAAUUGCCAAUUACAAGAGACUGCUUGGAAACACCAUCUUUCACGAGGGAAUCUGCUACAGAGCUAGCAUCUCUAGGAACCUCAUACCUGAAAUAUGCAAAUUUGCUGUGUUUGAAUCAUGACAGGGCCCCCCCUCUUAUAGCCGCUUAUUGCCUUAUACUCUCCUAAACAAAUCAAACCAUUUCUAGAGCCAUUGAUUUCUGCAGUUUAUGUUUAGGAAAUCUUGUUCUUUUGAGGUAAUAGUUGAUGGUAGUUUUUCAAUCCUGUAAAAUAAACAUAUUUAUAGUCUUGGAAUCGAAACCUAAUUGAAGCUUAAUAGACAAGAUUUCACAAUAUUAACGAGGCUGUUGCUUCUAGUCAUUGACAAUAUGGAUGAGAAAUGGGGAAAUAUCAACCUACAAUUCGUAUAAAGUAAUAUCAGUCAUAUUAUAGCAAAGAUGGGUUUAUGACUACUUCAUUUAUUUUCUCUCAUUCUGUGGGGAAAUCUAGUGUUGAAACCGUGGAGUUGUUUGGAUUGGGUGCAUUUGGACGGUUUGGGUAUUUCAAUUACCAGGCCAAAUAUCAGAUGGCAAGGAUUGGCUGUUGAGGAACUUCUUAGUUUCAACAGAUGAAUGAAAGGUUUGGAAUUGUGAAAGGUGGGUGUUGCUUGUGUGGAAUGUGCCAGAUGGGGCUAAUUACUGCUCUAUUUAGGAAAGGGGAGAUCUAACCAAAGGUCAGUACACCAAUUUAGUUUCAUGGUGCACUAUAAAAGUGGCACAACAAUGAGGGUUCCAUUGUGGUUGGACUAUUGCCUGCAAACUGAACAGAAUGUCCUGCUGUCCGACUGGUGUGUCCUUUUCCAUGCCAAUCGAUUUCCCACUUUCAUCUCUAACAUCCAUUUGUAGGUCACUAAUUGGAAUAUCCAAUAAGUGAGUUUUUUAGUUGUUA